UUAAAUUGAAGAGUUUGAUCAUGGCUCAGAUUGAACGCUGGCGGCAGGCCUAACACAUGCAAGUCGAACGGUAACAGGAAGCAGCUUGCUU
rnacentral:rRNA from 1 species